UAUUCUAAAGAAGAAGCUUUUGUCCAGGAUGAUGUUUGUGGAUACAAAGCCUAGGGUGUACUAGAAAGAUGGAAAUUUUGGAAAAUGGUCACCAAGUAAUUGGACUCCCUUGUCAUCAAGGUCUACUGGGUUUAAGAACUCACACUUUGCCGAUGAUACUUUGCUCUUUUAUGUAGCUGACUUGAAUUAAUUGGGCAACUUAUCCUCUAAGGUUUUUAAUUGCUACCAAGUCCUAAGAUUAACUUCUAUAUGAGUUUGAUGAUAGGUUUGGGACUGAGAGAUGACAAAGAAUGUUG
rnacentral:lncRNA from 1 species